GCUGACGUGGAUCCUGGAGCCUCGCCGGGAAGACCAAGGCUCGUGGGGUUCCGGGGACCCACCCGCAGGCUGAAUUCGAAACGAAUACAAACCCAGGGCGCCAGCUCUUGGCUGGCUUCAGCGUGAGGCUCCAGAAGGGGGUCUGUCCAAUCUACGUACGACGAGAGGGCGCGAACGGCGGCGGCCCGUCUGCGAGCCUCGGGGAAACUGGUCCCUUGAGAUUAUAGGAUUUACUCGGGUUUCUCUGGCUUCGGAAUCCAGCUGAGAGAUGAGGAAGCUGCCGAAGAAAAGUGAAGCUAGCAGAGAUGGGUUCAUGAGGUUGAAGGAAAGAAGCCGUCUCCACCAUGUAAAAGUGCAGAGUGAAGCAGCAAGUGCUGAUGUAGAAGCUGCAGCAAGUUACCCAGGAGAUCUAGCUCAGAUAAUUCACGAAGGUGGCUAUGUAAUAAGGAAGACCCUUUGUAUUCUAUUACAAGUUAAUCACUAAAAGGAUGUUUCCCAGAAGCUUAAAUGAUACAUAAUGGCCCGUCCCUGGGAACCCUGCCCCCCAGGUAGUGAGCAUUAAGCUAAAAUACCUGUGUUUAGCUCCCAGGAAACAUCCUGACCAGGCCCACCUGUGAAUGGCUGCAGGCAGGAAGAAAUGAACCUAUCCCCUCUGGAGGCUGACUGAACCAGGACUUUACUCCCACCCCUUUCAGUAUAAAAGAAGUCUGAAUUCUAACUAGGGGAAGAUGGCUCUUUGGGACACGAGUCUACCGUCUUCUGAAGCCAGCCAGGAGCCUUGCUGCUUGUGGCCUGCAGGGCCCAGAUCGGGGAAUUUUCUGGUAAGGCCCGGGCAGCUGCUGGUAACACUUGUCCUGAGACUCUUUGCUUCAAAAUUCCCUGAAGCAGCGCUGGCUGCCACUUGGCAAGUGGAGCAGGGAAUUGACAUCUGGGAGCUGAGAGGCUCAAUACCGUAGGAAGAAAUCGAGGCUCACAGACAUCAGUUAACCUGUCCCAGUUCGCACAGUGAGUGAGUGGCAGAGCCUGGAUCUGGCAUCAGGUUUGUGAGUUGCAAAACUCACAUUCUGGGCUUCCCCGGUGGCACAGUGGUUAAGAAUCUGCCUGCCAAUGCAGGGGACACGGGUUCGAGCCCUGGUCCAGGAAGAUCCCAUGUGCCGCAGAGCAACUAAGCCCGUGUGCCACAACUACUGAGCCUGCGCUCUAGAGCCCGCGAGCCACAGCUACUGAGCCCACGUGCCACAACUACUGAAGCCCGUGCGCCUAGAGCCCGUGCUCUGCAACAAGAGAAGCCACCACAGUGAGAAGCCCGUGCACUGCAACGAAGAGUAGCCCCCACUCGCCACAACUAAAGAAAGCCCGCGCGUAGCAACAAAGACCCAGUGCAGCCACAGAAAAAAAAAGAAAAGUGAACCCUAAUGUAAACCGUGGACUCUAGGCGAUAAUGAUGUUCAAAUGUAGGUUCAUCACUUGUAGCAAAUGUACCAUCUGGUGGGGGAUGGCGGUAGCGGGGGAAGCUGUAUGCUUGCCGGGGCCAGGGACUAUACGGGAAAUCUCUGUACCGUCCCAUCAGUUUUGCUGUGAACCUCAACAGGCUCUAAAAAAUUGUCUAUUAAAAAAACAGCUGAGGAGUUCCCUGGCGGUCCAGUGGUUAGGACUUGGCGCUCUCACUGCCGUGGCCCUGGGUUCAAUCCCUGGUCGGGGAACUAAGAUCCCACAAGCCCUGUGGCACAGCCAAAAAUAAAAAAUAAAAAAUAAAUUUAAAAAACCUGAAGAAAUCUUCAGGGCAACCUUGGUAGGUGUGUCUGGAACAUGUUCCCUUGCCUGGGAGGGCUUCUGCAGCAUGAGCGCCUCACUCGUGCCAACUACGAAGGAGCUGCACCUCCACCCGCCUCCCGCCGCUGGGCUCCCCUGGGGCACCUGGAACCUGGGAGGCCAGGACAACGUGGAGUCUCCACGCGCGCUCAGCCCCACAGCAGUCCUGCCCUGACCCGCUUCGUGCAGCUGAGCAAGGUUGGGAUUUCCAAAAGGAACUUUCCUGGAGAAACGAAAUUAAAAAGAGAGAGCACAGCUGAACCCAGAACUCCAACCGAUACAGGGAGGAUCUUGAGCUAGGCCAGGUUGGGACAGAUGAGACCUUGUGGGGUGGAUGAAUGUCCGCAAGGACCCCGACCUCAGAGAAGGGGGCAGGCAGCUGUACGUGAGGCAGGGAAGGAGAGAGGAGAGGUCGGAGCGACAUGAAAUCCAGCACGGCGGGGUCUGCAAAGAACAUCUUCUGGAAGGAGAUGCCUCGUGUUCUGGAUGCCUUUCUGCAAGGUACAGCCCUCCUCCACCUCAUGACCUCCGGCUGCCCAUCCUCACAGUCUAUCCCUAAAUCUCCAGGAGGGUUUACUAAACUCACCAGGUUCAGUGUGAGCUUCAGAAAUGGAACAAGGGUGGUGGAUCUUCUCUGGCGGUCCAGUGGUUAAGACCUCGUGCUUCCACUGCAGGGGGUGAGGGUUUGAUCCCUGGUCAGGGCACUAAGAUCCCCCAUGCCUCACGGUGUGGCCAAAAUAAAUACAUAAAUACAUAAAUAAAAUAAUAAAGAAGUUGAACAAGGGUGGAGUUUUACGUCUUCAGAAAGCAAGCACGCCCUCCUCCCCCAGUAUCCUCCUUCACCUGGAGAUUUGCAACAUCUAGGGACACCUUUAACAUCCAAAGACCGUCAAAAUGGAAGUUUUCCAUCCAUUUUACCUGAAUCUAAAGGGAGGGGAGGUCUCAGGUGAAAACCUAAAGUGCAAGAAAAUAGCAAAGCGUAAAAGGGAGCAAGGAUAUUUUUGCUAACAGAGCACAGAUAUUUUUGCCUUGAUUAACUCAGACUUGUCUCAGACACACAGACCCUGGUUCCCCUCCUGCCCCUGGGCUUGAGCUGAUGUGCUGGUUCACGGCAAUGGCUGGCUGCAGGCUUGAGCUCAGCCUGUCCUCCUGCCCUCGGCUUCCUGAUGGACCUCUGGCCCAGCGCUACCAGCAGAUUGCUGACAGCUAGAAGCCGGCCUCCUACAGGUCACAUUCCCUCUGCUGGCAGGAGGCACCAUUCCUUUUUUUUUUUUUUUUAACUUUAUUUUUGGCUGCGUUGGGUCUUUGUUGCUGAGCGCGGGCUUUUCUCUAGUGUGGUGAGCGGGGGCUACUCUUC